rnacentral:lncRNA from 1 species
CACCCGGAGCCUCGUUCGCGGAUAAUACGUCAACAUGCACCCGACCAGUACACGAGGAGCACUGCCCCGAGACGUGACGUGUGGGGUAAUACCCGGGCGUUCCUUCAUUUAUCGGUGAGGAGAACUGUAGGCUGUGUUCUGUACCGGUGCGGGUUGUCCAUUACACUUCAUUCAAGGUGCCCGUUUUCCCCGUGGGGAUGAAGACCUUCUACUUGGGCGUGGCCACAGUGCUGGCCGGGCUGUGUCUAGCGCUUAUGUGUGACGCUGAACCUCACCGCCGUCUCAGGCUGAGAAUAUCUUCCCGGCGCAAUAAAUGACAAGCUUCAACAGAUCCAACACCAGCGACUGCACAUCAGGCCUCUACCAGCUAUAAUCCUUGGCUGAACUGGGCUACUACCACUCAAUCGUAUAACAGUACCUCCUGUUCCCAAACUCUAUCUGGUACGGAGGGAAGUUUCAGCAGCCCUGGAGCGGGAGCGGGAGCGUCGUACUCUGGCAACCUUGACUGCCUCUACACCAUUCCCUCACCACCACCAGGGAGCCUAAUUGACAUAACAUUCAUGCUGUUCCAACUGGAGGACCAUUCCUCUUGCGACUAUGACUACGUCAAGUUCUCCUACACCCGCCAGAAGAUCUGUGGAAUCAAGACCACGCCUCUGUAAUUCUCCUUUACAUCCCUGGAGACGGACUUCAAGAUAUACUUCCACUCUGACGGUUCAGUUCAUCAUCCUGGUUUUCUUGCAGCAUUUAGGAUUCGAGAAAGGCUGAACCGGACUGCAACCACUCCGUGGUAUUACAGGACCACAACCCCUUUCAAUUCAUUCACGAACACCUUCACCUUAUACUUCAAGACAGACUACAGCGUUACUAGGAGAGGAUUCUCCAUUAAUUACAGGAC